rnacentral:rRNA from 1 species
UACGUAGGUGGCAAGCGUUAUCCGGAUUUACUGGGUGUAAAGGGCGUGUAGGCGGGAGUGCAAGUCAGAUGUGAAAACCACGGGCUCAACCUGUGGCCUGCAUUUGAAACUGUACUUCUUGAGUACUGGAGAGGCAGACGGAAUUCCUAGUGUAGCGGUGAAAUGCGUAGAGAUUAGGAAGAACACCAGUGGCGAAGGCGAUUCUCUGGACUGUAACUGACGCUGAGGCUCGAAAGCGUGGGGAGCAAACAGG